rnacentral:rRNA from 1 species
UACAGAGGUCCCAAGCGUUGUUCGGAUUCACUGGGCGUAAAGGGUGCGCAGGUGGGUUUGCAAGUUCGAUGUGAAAGCCCCGGGCUUAACCCGGGAAUGGCAUUGGAUACUGCAGAUCUGGAGGAUCGGAGGGGGGACUGGAAUUCUUGGUGUAGCAGUGAAAUGCGUAGAUAUCAAGAGGAACACCAGUGGCGAAGGCGGCUUCUUGGGCCAUUACUGACGCUGAGGCGCGAAAGCCAGGGGAGCGAACGGG